GACGAACGCUGGCGGCGUGCCUAAUACAUGCAAGUAGAACGCUGAAGAGAGGAGCUUGCUCUUCUUGGAUGAGUUGCGAACGGGUGAGUAACGCGUAGGUAACCUGCCUUGUAGCGGGGGAUAACUAUUGGAAACGAUAGCUAAUACCGCAUAACAAUGGAUGACACAUGUCAUUUAUUUGAAAGGGGCAAUUGCUCCACUACAAGAUGGACCUGCGUUGUAUUAGCUAGUAGGUGAGGUAAUGGCUCACCUAGGCGACGAUACAUAGCCGACCUGAGAGGGUGAUCGGCCACACUGGGACUGAGUCACGGCCCAGACUCCUACGGGAGGCAGCAGUAGGGAAUCUUCGGCAAUGGGGGCAACCCUGACCGAGCAACGCCGCGUGAGUGAAGAAGGUUUUCGGAUCGUAAAGCUCUGUUGUAAGUCAAGAACGGGUGUGAGAGUGGAAAGUUCACACUGUGACGGUAGCUUACCAGAAAGGGACGGCUAACUACGUG
rnacentral:rRNA from 1 species